rnacentral:rRNA from 1 species
GACGAACGCUGGCGGCGUGUUUAACACACGCAAGUCGAACGGAGAUUUUAGCAAUAGAAUCUUAGUGGCGAACGGGUGAGUAACGCGUAGGCAAUCUGCCUUCUAGAUGGGGACAACAUCCCGAAAGGGGUGCUAAUACCGAAUGUUGUAACGACUUCGCAUGAAGUUGUUACUAAAGGUGGCCUCUGAAUAUGCUACCGCUAGAAGAUGAGCCUGCGUCUGAUUAGCUAGUUGGAGGGGUAACGGCCCACCAAGGCUUCGAUCAGUAGCCGGUCUGAGAGGAUGAACGGCCACACUGGGAAUGAGCCACGGCCCUGACUCCUACGGGAGGCAGCAGUGGGGAAUCUUCCGCAAUGGACGAAAGUCUGACGGAGCAACGCCGCGUGAGUGAAGAAGGUUUUCGGAUCGUAAAGCUCUUUCGUUAGGGACGAACGUGCUCUUUGUGAAUAAUGAGGAGUAAUGACGGUACCUAAAUAAGAAGCCACGGCUAACUACGUGCCAGCAGCCGCCGUAA